rnacentral:misc_RNA from 1 species
GAAAUGCGAUAAGUAAUGUGAAUUGAAGAAUUCAGUGAAUCAUCGAAUCUUUGAACGCACAUUGCGCCCGCCAGUAUUCUGGCGGGCAUGCCUGUUCGAGCGUCAUUACAACCCUCAGGCCCCCGGGCCUGGCGUUGGGGAUCGGCGGAAGCCCCCUGCGGGCACAACGCCGUCCCCCAAAUACAGUGGCGGUCCCGCCGCAGCUUCCAUUGCGUAGUAGCUAACACCUCGCAACUGGAGAGCGGCGCGGCCACGCCGUAAAACACCCAACUUCUGAAUGUUGACCUCGAAUCAGGUAGGAAUACCCGCUGAACUUAAGC